rnacentral:rRNA from 1 species
UACGUAGGGCGCAAGCGUUAUCCGGAAUUAUUGGGCGUAAAGAGCUCGUAGGCGGUUUGUCGCGUCUGCCGUGAAAGUCCGGGGCUCAACUCCGGAUCUGCGGUGGGUACGGGCAGACUAGAGUGAUGUAGGGGAGACUGGAAUUCCUGGUGUAGCGGUGAAAUGCGCAGAUAUCAGGAGGGACACCGGUGGCGAAGGCGGAUCUCUGGGCCGUAACUGACGCUGAGGAGCGAAAGCAUGGGUAGCGAACAGG